AACGAACGCUGGCGGCAGGCUUAACACAUGCAAGUCGAACGCCCCGCAAGGGGAGUGGCAGACGGGUGAGUAACGCGUGGGAAUCUACCUAGUUCUACGGAAUAACAGAGGGAAACUUCUGCUAAUACCGUAUACGCCCUAAGGGGGAAAGAUUUAUCGGAAUUAGAUGAGCCCGCGUAAGAUUAGCUAGUUGGUGGGGAAUGGCCUACCAAGGCGACGAUCUUUAGCUGGUCUGAGAGGAUGAUCAGCCACACUGGGACUGAGACACGGCCCAGACUCCUACGGGAGGCAGCAGUGGGGAAUAUUGGACAAUGGGCGCAAGCCUGAUCCAGCCAUGCCGCGUGAGUGAUGAAGGCCUUAGGGUUGUAAAGCUCUUUCAGUGGGGACGAUAAUGACGGUACCCACAGAAGAAGCCCCGGCUAACUUCGUGCCAGCAGCCGCAGUAAGAC
rnacentral:rRNA from 1 species